rnacentral:misc_RNA from 1 species
UCUCGGCUUAUCACCGGCAGUCCCCCUAGAGUGCCCAACUGAAUGAUGGCAACUAAGGGCGAGGGUUGCGCUCGUUGCGGGACUUAACCCAACAUCUCACGACACGAGCUGACGACAGCCAUGCAGCACCUGUGUCCCGGUCCCGUGAGGGAACUCUGGAUCUCUCCAGAUGGCCGGGCAUGUCAAGGGCUGGUAAGGUUCUGCGCGUUGCUUCGAAUUAAGCAACAUGCUCCGCCGCUUGUGCGGGCCCCCGUCAAUUCCUUUGAGUUUCACCCUUGCGGGCGUACUCCCCAGGUGGAUUACUUAACGCUUUCGCUAAGACGCUGACAGUUUAUCGCCAACAUCGAGUAAUCAUCGUUUACGGCGUGGACUAC